UUUAACCAACAAUUAAUUAUUAUAUUUUAGGUAGCUUAUUCUCCACGCAGGCUAACGCUAUAAAUGUGGGUCUGACAUCUCAUUUUAUUAUUCUUCUUUUCUGUGGUUUGCUUCACUCGUACAUCUCCUUCUCCGCCUUCUUCUUUCGUAUCUGUUCAUCGGCUUCUCUCGUCGACGGCAUAAUCAGUUCCCAGGUUCGCUUAUCCAUUUCGAUUUCAUUUAUCGAUUUCUAUUUGCCAUUCGUUUUGCGAUUACGAAAACUAUCGAUUCUUACCGUCUAGGGUUUUCUCCACUCUCUCACUCGAUUAACCCACUUUCUUAAAAUCUUUCGGGUUUCUUGUGAGAAAGUGAUUCGGUAUCUUCUCCAUCUCUUUCAGAUCGCUCUCUUCUUGCGGAAAUUUCCCCCCACUUCACUUUUGGCUGAAACUGGUACCAAAUACGUCGAGAUUCCAUAUUCUGUCGGCCCACAAAAAUUUUGAGACCCAUUCCGCCCGCCUCUCGAAACCCUACCCUCUCGAAUUUGUAUCCGUUUCCGUUUCCGUUUCCCGGACCCCGCCUAUUGAAAAUUAAGCAAGACGUUUGAACUAUCGCUGUCGCUGCUGUGGUUCAAGGGUUGUCUCCCAAUUUUCCAUUCUUUACUAAUUUUGUUUUUUAGCUAUGAAAUCAAUAGCGUAUAAUGUUUCAACAUUCCAAAUUCAAUGAUUUAUUAGGAAAUUAUUGUUUCCAGAAUGGRACCAAUUAGACUAAAUGCCAGUUGUUGAAAAACAAAUGAGGAGAUUCCGCAUAACUUUUUUUUACGUCUCCAAUAUAGAUCAUUAUGCAAAAGCAAGCCACUCUGCCCUGUCUCAGCAUCUUAUUAUGACCACCUUUUUCCAUAGUUCUUUCUUUCUGUAAGAAUGUUGUUGUAUGGCUAUACAUAAUCUCAUUUCGUCACGUGACAUGUUCAUUCAUGGCGUUUUUGCUUUAUGAUAUAACUUUUGGUGCCCUCUUGAGAGAUUGAAGCUGGAGUACAUAGUUCGUGGUGAGCGGAAAAACCUAUUAAACUAAUCAAGGUCCGAAAGGUUUUUGAACGGUUGAUAAUUUUGAGCGGUUCCUCAACGAUCUGCAACCGUUCUAUGCAUCCCUUUGGACACAGUAAGUGGCAAUUGCUUGUGUAGGUUACCGAGUAUAUUGACAUAGUUCUCGAAAUAUUUGUAGAUGUAACAGUUGCCUCAAUGUAAUGGUUGCUCCAAUAUAUUUGGUCC